UGAUUCCCUCUCAUUUUAUCUCUCUUAUUCGCCUUUGAAGUCACAGAUCUUCAUCUCCUUCGAAGUCACAAAUCUCCAUCUGGUUGCACUGAGCCAUGGUUGAUGGUGGUUGAUUUUUCGGAAGCCUCAGUUAGGUUUGACAUUGGUGGUUCAAUUUGGGUAUGUUCAAGAUUAUAUCCUAACAUUCGUUUGAUUGGAGACCAAGAUUUUAUCAAGGCUACAGAGGUGCAGCCAGCUGCAGUAAGGGAGGCCUGCAAGACAGGAUCAAUCGAAGCUUUCACAAUAUCGGGAUAGAAGAUUUACUGGAUCACUGGAGGAAUUUGAACAAGCACUCCUGGCAUCAACAACUGUUUAUAUUGUGAAUAUGUCAUUCUACACAAUAGAAGAGCAAGUUUAUGAGCUUUUUUCUCGUGCUGGAGGAUUAAGAGGAUAAUUAUGGGCUUGGAUAAAAAUACCAAAACGCCUUGUGGUUUUUGUUUUGUCCUGUAAGCUUCAUUCUUCAUAUUUUUAACUUCUUGAAAGGGAAACGGUUUAGUGGGAUUCGUUAAAGACAAUUUUAAUAUACUAGAAUCAUUUUGAAUAAUAGAAAUA